GUGUUUGUUUUGGCAACACACUUACUAAAACUGGAACAAUACAGAGGAGAUCAACUGUGCCAAGAAUGACAAGCAAAUUCAUGUAGCAUUUCAUAUUUUU
ensembl:snRNA U6 U6 spliceosomal RNA